rnacentral:rRNA from 1 species
AUUGAACGCUAGCGGGAUGCCUUACACAUGCAAGUCGAACGGAGUGGCGAACGGGUGCGUAAUGUAUAGGAACGUGCCCAGUAGCGGGGGAUGACUACCCGAAAGCGUAGCUAAUACCGCAUACUAUUGGACCGGCCGAUAUCGGAUUAGCUAGUUGGUGGGGUAACGGCUCACCAAGGCAACGAGCCGUAGCUGGUUUGAGAGGACGACCAGCCACCUGGGGACGAGGCAAGGGCCCAAAUCCCUACGGGAGGCAGCAGUGGGGAAUUUUGGACAAUGGGGGAAACCCGGAUCCAGCCCUCCCGCGUGGGCGAGGAAGGCCUUAGGGUUGGAAAGCACUUUUGGCAGGAAAGCGGUACCUGCAGAAUAAGCACCGGCUAACUACGUGCCAGCCGCCGCGGUAAUUC